rnacentral:rRNA from 1 species
GAUGAACGCUGGCGGCGUGCCUAAUACAUGCAAGUCGAGCGAACAGACGAGGAGCUUGCUCCUCUGACGUUAGCGGCGGACGGGUGAGUAACACGUGGAUAACCUACCUAUAAGACUGGGAUAACUUCGGGAAAUCGGAGCUAAUACCGGAUAAUAUAUUGAACCGCAUGGUUCAAUAGUGAAAGACGGUUUUGCUGUCACUUAUAGAUGGAUCCGCGCCGCAUUAGCUAGUUGGUAAGGUAACGGCUUACCAAGGCAACGAUGCGUAGCCGACCUGAGAGGGUGAUCGGCCACACUGGAACUGAGACACGGUCCAGACUCCUACGGGAGGCAGCAGUAGGGAAUCUUCCGCAAUGGGCGAAAGCCUGACGGAGCAACGCCGCGUGAGUGAUGAAGGUCUUCGGAUCGUAAAACUCUGUUAUUAGGGAAGAACAAAUGUGUAAGUAACUAUGCACGUCUUGACGGUACCUAAUCAGAAAGCCACGGCUAACUACGU